UACGUAGGGGGCAAGCGUUAUCCGGAUUUACUGGGUGUAAAGGGAGCGUAGACGGCGAAGCAAGUCUGGUGUGAAAACCCGGGGCUCAACCCCGGGCCUGCAUUGGAAACUGUUGACCUAGAGUGCUGGAGAGGUAAGUGGAAUUCCUAGUGUAGCGGUGAAAUGCGUAGAUAUUAGGAGGAACACCAGUGGCGAAGGCGGCUUACUGGACAGUGACUGACGUUGAGGCUCGAAAGCGUGGGGAGCAAACAGG
rnacentral:rRNA from 1 species